UACGGGGGGGGCAAGCGUUGUUCGGAAUUACUGGGCGUAAAGGGCUCGUAGGUGGCCAACUAAGUCAGACGUGAAAUCCCUCGGCUUAACCGGGGAACUGCGUCUGAUACUGGAUGGCUAGAGAUUGGGAGAGGGAUGCGGAAUUCCAGGUGUAGCGGUGAAGUGCGUAGAUAUCUGGAGGAACACCGGUGGCGAAGGCGGCAUCCUGGACCAACACUGACGCUGAGUGAGCGAAAGCCAGGGGAGCAAACAGG
rnacentral:rRNA from 1 species